rnacentral:rRNA from 1 species
CCUACGGGAGGCUGCAGUGGGGAAUAUUGCACAAUGGGGGAAACCCUGAUGCAGCGACGCCGCGUGAGCGAGGAAGUCUUUCGGUUUGUAAAGCUCUAUUAGCAGGGACGAAACAAGACGCUAUCUGACUAAGAUGCCCCGGCUCACUAUGUGCCAGCAGCCGCGGUAAUACGUAGGGGGCAAGCGUUAUCCGGAUUUACUGGGUGUAAAGGGGGCGUAGACGGGAAGGCAAGCCAGAGGUGAAAGGGCUGGGCUCAACCCUGUACAUGCUUUUGGAACUGUGGUGCUAGAGUGCAGGAGAGGUAAGUGGAAUUCCUAGUGUAGCGGUGAAAUGCGUAGAUAUUAGGAGGAACACCAGUGGCGAAGGCGGCUUACUGGACUGUAACUGACGUUGAGGCGCGAAAGCGUGGGGAGCAAACAGGAUUAGAUACCCGUGUAGUC